GACGGACAAUAGGCAUCUAUGCUACCAUGAUGAAGACCGACGCCUCGUACAAGGAGCUCUUUUUCUACCGUGGCUUGAUGACGAAGUUGUUCGAGUCGUAACUGAUUCUGUCUCUUCCACUUCGUUCUGGAACAAGUAAGCAAGUUGAGCAUGUGUAAAAGCCGUUCGUCUUCUUCGUGGCUUUCUUCCACUAGGUGGACCACUAGGAGUUCCGCAAGAUUUACCAGACGUUGUCGGACCUGGUGGAGGCGAGAGAACAGGUGGUGGACUUCCUAGUCGAGUGCAAGGACUACUGCCAGGAUCGAUUGUAUCUUCGGAAUCCGAAUGAACGGCCGAAUCAUCUUCGGAAUCUUCUAUUCAACUCAACGGUGAAAGCCUAUUAUCGAGACAAUGCCGAACGAAUCGAAAUCGAUUUAUUAUCCUCCCUAGUUCAUGGUAAACGAUCUCAAUCAAGAUCCUGUGGUGUCGUACAACGAUUGACCAAUAAAACUGGGAAACGCUGUGGGACAGAGUAACCGACGGCAAAAAUUUGUGGACUAACGAAUCCUAACGAGUCACUUCGCACCUAAAACCAUCUGUAGGAUCACCCUUAACAGGGUGACACCCUGUAGAGUGGAUCGUCGUUCCUCGGACCCCGUAUAGUGGAUAAAAAUAAUAGAAGAGUCCUUGGGGGGUAUCUUUUAACGAGAAUCCCGACGGUAGUGCACGCGACCGACUCGUGUUUCGUAUAUAAAACACUAAUAAUCUAUCAAAAUUCAUUUCUUUUUUAUUGAUUGUUAAAUCUUUAAUAUGUCUUCGAUCAUUCGAGAAAUCAAUAUCACCUACCUUGAACUCUAUCCGCCAGAACGUCGCCCAAAAGAUCUCUUAUCAAAAAGGACUUGUGUUCUUGCAUCAUCGUCACUGAUGAAUUGAUGCAAACCAGUUUUAAAAACUAAACAAGAUCACUCGAGUAUAAGAAUUGUUUACUUUCCGUAUCCGCGUUAUCACCGAUUAUACUAAGGAGCCGACUUUCAUGCUAUCGUACAGACGUUCGGCAUCGUUCUGCGUCGACCGCGAGUACGGGGAUGACCGGAUGUAUCUGGCCGACGUUCCACUGUCGUCAUCGUCCUAGACAUUCUUGUCGUCUUCGUCGUCGUAGCCACGUUGUGGGUGAAGGCAAGUCGUUGUAGGAGGCGGAGGCUUACUCGAUGAAGUUUGGAUACGAGGGUGAGGGGUACUACAGCAUUCAUCGUCUCUCCAACUAUAUCUUUCCCAAGCCCUGCCACCCCUUCGAAUUAAUCCGCCCGUUUAUUUUGAACGGGCAGCCUAAUGCCCGCGCGAUUUCGCAGCCAUUUUGGGGGUGGAGGCGCCUUCCGCGAGCCCCGCGCAUUCCCUUAAAAACAGUUCGCAUGGCUCUUGCCAUUGGUCGGUGGUACGGACGAGUGAGGGACGAAAAGUGUCUUCCGAGAGAUGCUAUUGGGCGGAUAAACGCACCCUGCGCGAGAGAAGGUUGGUUCUCUCCCUCCAUCAUCUUUCAUCCCUUCUAUACCUAUCGUUUCGCUUUCCUUUUGUAUGCAUUCAGACGAGAACACAAGGUAUAUAAUAGGGCUCGCACGAGUUGGUAAGGUAAGGACUACCAAACGUAGAGCCGCGUCGACUAACGGAGGUGGGCUGAUAGGGGAGGAAGUAAUUGGCAAGCGAUUACCGUAGAAGGAGAGGAGCAAAUUGGAUGUGAAACGUUUCUGUAGCUUUAUUAUGAUGCAGUCUUGUUCUAUCUGAAUUUCAAACUUAUCUCCUGAUUUUCUCUCUUUUUACUGUCGCCCAACUCUUUUAAAUUUAAAGAGAUAGUCACUACGCGAGGAAGAAAUCAGUAAGAUCGUCGUCAAGCUUCUAUCCAUUAGUACUUUUUAUAAAACGUAAUUCAAUCUUAAUAAUUUUUUUAUUAUUAUUAUUAUUAUUUUCUGCAAACAAGACUGAGUAAAAUUGAAAAAAAUUGUUCCUCAUAAUCGAAUUUAAUUAGACUAAUGAUCUUUAACUUUGUUAUAGAUAUUUCAUCUAUGUCAAUUCAUAAUUCAAGAAGAAGAGAUUAUCACCAAUCAUAAAAAUGAAUAACUCAAAUUGCGAUGAUAUCGUUACGAAGUUGAUUUAUUUGCAUAGACCUCGAGAAAGGAUAACGUUAGGAGUGCCAAAUGUAGGAGAGAUAGAUGUGCACCAUAUUUACAUAAAUACAUCCCUCG